rnacentral:lncRNA from 1 species
CUGACUUACCCAAAAUUUCGCUGUGAUUUAAGUGACCAGAUUGUAAAUAGUUCUCUUCCUACCCAUUGCCCUUUCCUUUCAACGCCCAUUUGUUUUCUUGGUAACACAAACAUUUGUGGUAAGGCCAGUCUCUAGGUCAGACCUGUGCUUGGCAAAGAGAUCUGCAGCCAACUUGGGGUACCACAGGUAAGGGAAAUGGCUACAAGGCCUCUCCAGGCAACUCCUAGCCUUCCUUCCUGGCCGGAGGUCUCUCAGUACUCCUGUUCUUCCACAAGAGUUUUGCACCUUCCCCCACCCACAGGCUACCCCUCCAAGAGAUGGCUGGUAAGACCGGACCACACUUCUGUUUUUUAAAUCUCAGGUCUGUCAACACUACACUUUGCCUGACUAGAUGCUUAUUACUCAGCUAGUGAGAACUCUGCAUUGCCCCGCUUAUACAUCUGCAUCUGGGAUCUCCCUUGCUCUGUGAACUGUCUUCUUCUCCCUAAGAAGCCAAAACACUGCCCAUAACCUCCAGACACCAGGGAGGGUCCAGGGAGUACUGCUGAGAGCCUCAAGGGAGCCAAUGCAGAAACAGCAGAAGUCCCUUCAAUAAAUAGGAGCUCAAGGAUACACUGAAGAGCAUGGCUGGAUCCUGGAAAAGGCCUUGCUCCGACCGGGAAGAUGUGAGACUGGCCCAAUAGGAGCAACAAAGGGCACUGCAGUGCUUCCACCACCUGAUUACCAGCCAGAUCUAACCCUAGGAAGACAGAGGUCCAGUCCAUCCCCCAACCAGCCACCUACACAACCUAUGUCUCACUCCUUCCCCACCACUUUCCCAACUCAGUGCUAAGGGACUAGAAGGGAAACAGAGACUUGAGUUUUAGGACCAUCCCAGCAUGUUGCCACAGACAAGUCCCCAGGCAGAUGGCUUUGUCCAUAAGUAAGAAAGAGAAGGGAGUCAUAUUUUAUGGGGUCUGAAAGUCUCCGUUUG